ACUUUGUUACCGCAAUGCGCAAAAAACGUAGUUUGCUAAAUUGACUUAGUUUCCCCUUGACGCAAGUUUAUAUCCUAAUGGAGGCGAAGUGCAGCAGCGUCUGGAGGAGGCGAAAGUGAGUAAAACCAGAGAGUUCAGAGUUCAACAAUGUCAGCGAAGUUUAAAUCUUACCGGCUAGCUUAAAUCAGUUCAGGCCCCUCUCCUACGUUCCCGCUGCUGCUGCUACUCUUUGGUACUGCAGCCUACGACCCUGAGUUAUUUUGGAGUUGACAAAUGAAACUGACGUGUACGUCUUUGUACACCGUCACCGAGUCAGUUUGUACAAUGAAACCAGAGUCUUUUCAGAGAGCAUGGCGUGAGGACAGAAGCUGGCCAAGGAGAACCAUGCUUUACAUGCGGAGGGCCCAUUUUGUGUCGUUGAACUUAGAGAGAAACUUCACCCCAGGUGCACCAAAGACUGGAGAGAUAUUAACACUGCCCCCUUCACGAAUGAAAUGGUCAACUACGGCCGAUGUAAGCUGCAGUCCAUUGAACAGAGCCUGUGUUCCGCCUGACAUUCCCAAGCUGAGCUCCAUAUGGAACAACUGAAUGGCACAAUUCAAAGUUAAACUCUGGGGAGUUUUAUGAUCCCCCUACAAAUAAAUUGAUGGCUGACCAACAUGCAGCUGUCUCAGGUGUCACACGUGAUAGUUCCAGAUGCAGUGACAUUUUUAGGGAUACACGAUACAUGUCGGGCUGAUAACUUAUGAGCACAUAAUAGGAAAUUUACAUUAUUAUUCAUUGUUCCAAUGAUAACAUUUUUGCCAAUAAAUAGAA